GACGAACGCUGGCGGCGUGCCUAAUACAUGCAAGUCGAACGCAGUUGGGACGGGUGAGUAACACGUGGGUAACCUCCCAUCAGAGGGGAUAACACUUGGAAUCAGGUGCUAAACCGAUACUGAUGGAUGGACCCGGGGUGCAUUAGCUAGUUGGUGAGGUAACGGCUCACCAAGGCCACGAUGCAUAGCCGACCGGAGAGGUGGACCGGCCACACGGGAACUGAGACACGGCCCAGACUCCUACGGGAGGCAGCAGUAGGGAAUAUUGGGCAAUGGACGAAAGUCUGAUCGAGCAACGCCGCGUGAGUGAAUAAGGUUUUCGGAUCGUAAAACUCUGUUGUUGGAGAAGCGGUACCUAACCAGAAAGCAACGGCUAACUACGUGCCAGCAGCCGCGGUAAUUC
rnacentral:rRNA from 1 species